rnacentral:rRNA from 1 species
AUUGAACGCUGGCGGCAGGCCUAACACAUGCAAGUCGAGCGGAGCGGCGUACGGGUGAGUAAUGCCUAGGAAUCUGCCUGGUAGUGGGGGAUAACGUCCGGAAACGGGCGCUAAUACCGCAUACUAUCAGAUGAGACUAGGUCGGAGUAGCUAGUUGGUGGGGUAAAGGCCUACCAAGGCGACUAUCCGUAACUGGUCUGAGAGGCUGAACAGUCACACUGGAACGGAGAAACGGUCCAGACUCCUACGGGAGGAAGCAGUGGGGAAUAUUGGACAAUGGGCGAAAGCCUGAUCCAGCCAUGCCGGGUGUGUGAAGAAGGUCUUCGGAUUGUAAAGCACUUUAAGUUGGGAGGCGUUACCAACAGAAUAAGCACCGGCUAACUUCGUGCCAGCAGCCGCGGUAAUUC